UACGUAGGGUGCGAGCGUUGUCCGGAAUUAUUGGGCGUAAAGAGCUCGUAGGCGGUGUGUCACGUCGGCCGUGAAAACCUGCAGCUUAACUGUGGGCGUGCGGUCGAUACGGGCAUCACUGGAGUUCGGCAGGGGAGACUGGAAUUCCUGGUGUAGCGGUGAAAUGCGCAGAUAUCAGGAGGAACACCGGUGGCGAAGGCGGGUCUCUGGGCCGAUACUGACGCUGAGGGACGAAAGCUAGGGGAGCGAAUGGG
rnacentral:rRNA from 1 species